rnacentral:rRNA from 1 species
GAUGAACGCUAGCGGCAGGCUUAAUACAUGCAAGUCGAGGGGCAGCAGCUUUGUAGCAAUACAAGGGCUGGCGACCGGCAAACGGGUGCGGAACACGUACGCAACCUUCCUUUAACUGGGAGAUAGCCCACCGAAAGGUGGAUUAAUAUCCCAUAGUAUAUUUGAGUGGCAUCACUUAGAUAUUAAAGCUCCGGCGGUUAAAGAUGGGCGUGCGUCUGAUUAGGUAGUUGGCGGGGUAACGGCCCACCAAGCCCACGAUCAGUAGCUGAUGUGAGAGCAUGAUCAGCCACACGGGCACUGAGACACGGGCCCGACUCGUACGGGAGGCAGCAGUAAGGAAUAUUGGUCAAUGGACGCAAGUCUGAACCAGCCAUGCCGCGUGGAGGAUGAAGGCCCUCUGGGUUGUAAACUUCUUUUCUUUGGGACGAAACCCCUGUUUCUACGGGGACUGACGGUACCAGAGGAAUAAGCACCGGCUAACUCCGUGCCAGCAGCCGCCGUAA